GCGAACGCUGGCGGCAGGCCUAACACCUGCAAGUCGAACGAACCUUUCGGGGUUAGUGGCGGACGGGUGAGUAACACGUGGGAACGUGCCUUUAGGUUCGGAAUAACUCAGGGCAACUUGUGCUAAUACCGAAUGUGCCCUUCGGGGGAAAGAUUUAUCGCCUUUAGAGCGGCCCGCGUCUGAUUAGCUAGUUGGUUGAGGUAAUGGCUCACCAAGGCGACGAUCAGUAGCUGGUCUGAGAGGAUGAUCAGCCACAUUGGGACUGAGACACGGCCCAAACUCCUACGGGAGGCAGCAGUGGGGAAUCUUGCGCAAUGGGCGAAAGCCUGACGCAGCCAUGCCGCGUGAAUGAUGAAGGUCUUAGGAUUGUAAAAUUCUUUCACCGGGGACGAUAAUGACGGUACCCGGAGAAGAAGCCCCGGCUAACUUCGUG
rnacentral:rRNA from 1 species